rnacentral:rRNA from 1 species
AGUUUGAUCCUGGCUCAGGAUGAACGCUGGCGGCGUGCCUAAUACAUGCAAGUCGAGCGAACAGACGAGGAGCUUGCUCCUUUGACGUUAGCGGCGGACGGGUGAGUAACACGUGGGUAACCUACCUAUAAGACUGGGAUAACUUCGGGAAACCGGAGCUAAUACCGGAUAAUAUUUCGAACCGCAUGGUUCGAUAGUGAAAGAUGGCUUUGCUAUCACUUAUAGAUGGACCUGCGCCGUAUUAGCUAGUUGGUAAGGUAACGGCUUACCAAGGCAACGAUACGUAGCCGACCUGAGAGGGUGAUCGGCCACACUGGAACUGAGACACGGUCCAGACUCCUACGGGAGGCAGCAGUAGGGAAUCUUCCGCAAUGGGCGAAAGCCUGACGGAGCAACGCCGCGUGAGUGAUGAAGGUCUUCGGAUCGUAAAACUCUGUUAUUAGGGAAGAACGAACGUGUAAGUAACUGUGCACGUCUUGACGGUACCUAAUCAGAAAGCCACGGCUAACUACGUGCCAGCAGCCGCGGUAAUACGUAGGUGGCAAGCGUUAUCCGGAAUUAUUGGGCGUAAAGCGCGCGUAGGCGGUUUUUUAAGCCUGAUGUGAAAGCCCACGGCUCAACCGUGGAGGGUCAUUGGAAACUGGAAAACUUGAGUGCAGAAGAGGAAAGUGGAAUUCCAUGUGUAGCGGUGAAAUGCGCAGAGAUAUGGAGGAACACCAGUGGCGAAGGCGACUUUCUGGUCUGUAACUGACGCUGAUGUGCGAAAGCGUGGGGAUCAAACAGGAUUAGAUACCCUGGUAGUCCACGCCGUAAACGAUAAGUGCUAAGUGUUAGGGGGUGUCCGCCCCUUAGUGCUGCAGCUAACGCAUUAAGCACUCCGCCUGGGGAGUACGACCGCAAGGUUGAAACUCAAAGGAAUUGACGGGGACCCGCACAAGCGGUGGAGCAUGUGGUUUAAUUCGAAGCAACGCGAAGAACCUUACCAAAUCUUGACAUCCUUUGACCCUUCUAGAGAUAGAAGUUUCCCCUUCGGGGGACAAAGUGACAGGUGGUGCAUGGUUGUCGUCAGCUCGUGUCGUGAGAUGUUGGGUUAAGUCCCGCAACGAGCGCAACCCUUAAGCUUAGUUGCCAUCAUUAAGUUGGGCACUCUAAGUUGACUGCCGGUGACAAACCGGAGGAAGGUGGGGAUGACGUCAAAUCAUCAUGCCCCUUAUGAUUUGGGCUACACACGUGCUACAAUGGACAAUACAAAGGGCAGCGAAACCGCGAGGUCAAGCAAAUCCCAUAAAGUUGUUCUCAGUUCGGAUUGUAGUCUGCAACUCGACUACAUGAAGCUGGAAUCGCUAGUAAUCGUAGAUCAGCAUGCUACGGUGAAUACGUUCCCGGGUCUUGUACACACCGCCCGUCACACCACGAGAGUUUGUAACACCCGAAGCCGGUGGAGUAACCAUUUGGAGCUAGCCGUCGAAGGUGGGACAAAUGAUUGGGGUGAAGUCGUAACAAGGUAGCCGUAUCGGAAGGUGUGG